rnacentral:rRNA from 1 species
UACGUAGGGGGCAAGCGUUGUCCGGAAUCAUUGGGCGUAAAGCGCGCGUAGGCGGCCCGAUAAGUCCGCUGUAAAAGUCCAGGGCUCAACCCUGGAAUGCCGGUGGAUACUGCCGGGCUAGAGUCCGGAAGAGGCGAGUGGAAUUCCUGGUGUAGCGGUGGAAUGCGCAGAUAUCAGGAGGAACACCGAUAGCGAAGGCGGUUCUCUGGGCAUGAUCUGACGCUGAUGCACGAAAGCGUGGGGAGCAAACAGG